rnacentral:rRNA from 1 species
GAUGAACGCUGGCGGCGUGCCUAAUACAUGCAAGUCGAGCGAAGCGGGGACGGGUGAGUAAAACGUGUAUAGCUUCCUAUAAGACUGGGGUAACCUCGGGACACCGGAGCUCAACCGGAUCCUUAUAGAUGGAUCCGCUCUGCAUUAGCUAGUGUGUAAGGUAACGGCUUACCAAGGCAACUAUGCCUAGCCGACCUGCGAGGGUAAUCAGCCAAACUAGAACUGAGACACGGUCCAGACUCCUACGGGAGGCAGCAGUAGGUAAUAUUCCGCAAUGGGCGAAAGCCUGACGGAGCCACGCCGCGUGAGUGAUGAAGGUCUUCGGAUCGUAAAACUCUGUUAUUAGGGAAGCGUUACCUAAUCAGAAAGCCACGGCUAACUACGUACCAGCAGCCGCGGUAAUAC